GAUGAACGCUGGCGGCGUGCCUAAUACAUGCAAGUCGAGCGAACAGACGAGGAGCUUGCUCCUCUGACGUUAGCGGCGGACGGGUGAGUAACACGUGGAUAACCUACCUAUAAGACUGGGAUAACUUCGGGAAACCGGAGCUAAUACCGGAUAAUAUAUUGAACCGCAUGGUUCAAUAGUGAAAGACGGUUUUGCUGUCACUUAUAGAUGGAUCCGCGCCGCAUUAGCUAGUUGGUAAGGUAACGGCUUACCAAGGCAACGAUGCGUAGCCGACCUGAGAGGGUGAUCGGCCGCACUGGAACUGAGACACGGUCCAGACUCCUACGGGAGGCAGCAGUAGGGAAUCUCCCGCAAUGGGCGAAAGCCUGACGGAGCAACGCCGCGUGAGUGAUGAAGGUCUUCGGAUCGUAAAACUCUGUUAUUAGGGAAGAACAAAUGUGUAAGUAACUAUGCACGUCUUGACGGUACCUAAUCAGAAAGCCACGGCUAACUACGUG
rnacentral:rRNA from 1 species